GUGCCAGCAGCCGCGGUAAUACGUAGGUGGCAAGCGUUACUCGGAAUUACUAGGCGUAAAGCGCAUGUAGGUGGUUGGAUAAGUCUGUGGUGAAAUUUCUCAGCUCAACUGGGAAACUGCCACGGAAACUAUCUGACUUGAGUGUGGGAGGGGGAGACGGAAUUCCUGGUGUAGCGGUGAAAUGCGUAGAUAUCAGGAGGAACACCAAUGGCGAAAGCAGUCUCCUGGCCCAAUACUGACACUGAGAUGCGAAAGCUAGGGUAGCAAACAGGAUUAGAUACCCUGGUAGUCCUAGCUGUAAACGAUGUUCACUAGAUGUGGGAGGUAUCGACCCCUUCCGCGUCGACGCUAACGCAUUAAGUGAACCGCCUGGGGAGUACGGCCGCAAGGCUGAA
rnacentral:rRNA from 1 species